AUAUCGUGCUUUAAUUUAGUCUUAACAUAUCCUGGUUCAAAUAUUGAUACAUAAAUCUUAGAUACGCAUAGUUAUGCUAUUUCUUGCAGAAGAUUAAAAUCUAUCUAAUGAUAUGAUAUUUUUAAUGAUAGCUAGUGAUUACUAGACAAUUUUUACAUCUUAAAGCGUGCAGAAUUAUAUAUACAAUACAAUAUUUAUCCUGUUAUAAUUAUAACGACACAUACACAUUAAAUAACGUAAAAUAUAUAGCAUUUUGAUCACAAAUAAUAAUAACGAAUUUAAACAUAAACUUAUUUACUCGCAUCCGCAAUAAUCUAAAAUAUAUUUGUACAUGAUUUUUGCUUGUCAAUACAGUAAUCUAAUCAGAAUUCAUAAAAACGCUACAAAAGUGCACGUUAUCUUGAACAUUUCCGUUUUUUUUAAAUUCAUUCAUAAGGAACGAGUCUACAGGUCUUCUUAUAUUUUAAAUGCCUGAAUUUUAGAGUGGAGAGUAAAUAAGUACUCUGGGUUUAAAAAAAACAUAAUUUCAAUAAAAUGUUUUGUAUAGAAGGUUUUUAGAAAUAACUAGAUGAAAUGUGCGACUUUUUGUGGUUUGUGGCCAUUUUUUAUUGUAAAUAGGGCACUUAAAGACUACGUGCCUACACUAUACGAGGGAUAUUCUGAUUUGACGGAAAAGUGUACAAAAGCUUAUAGAACUAUCGCCCAUUUAACUUUUUGCAUCUCCCAUACAGAUGCAAAAUUUUGGUCGAAAUUUUCUCAAUGUAAAAUGGAAAUAAUAUUAUCAUUCACCUUUUUUUUUCUCUGUUUUAAGAAACUGCAAAGUAUCUUUCUAUAUUAUUUUUCAAAAUCACAAAAAAGUGUUGUGCCAUCAGUUGAGAAGUCAAUUAAUAACAUUUAGGGUAUCGUAUUUUAUAUAAAUAUCUGUUCUAGGACACUGUUCUGGAAAAUUACCUACCUAGUAGUAUCCCAAGUUGAAAUGUCGAUUGGGGUUCGUUUGUAGAUAUUUGAUAGAGAUGUUAAAUAAAACCGUUUAAAAAUAUUUUAACCUCAACGUCAAUGCAUAUAAUAUGUAUGUACUUGUAUAUUUUAAGCCUAAACUAUUUAGAUUGAACUAGCAGAAUCCGAAAUAUGUCUAGUAGAAUGAAUGGCAAAAAUAUACAUAUGUUACUCAUUCUUCUUAUCCAGGUCUCUCCCUAACAAAGGCAGUGAGGUGUUUAUAUUAUGUCUUAAGCCUCGCGAAACUAAACAGUUGAGCGGCACUUCCUAUUCCUGUCCACUCCCGAUGUUGCGCUGCCAUCAAAACUGUCCCUUGCGGUCUCUGAAAUGGGCAUAUAAUAAGUACGAUGGAAGACGUGUGCCAUAUAAAAGUUAGUUAUUUUCGGUGUUGAUUUGAAGGGCCCCACCGAGGUACCGGGAAUCUAAAUUGAUGCUGUGUUAAAUGGGCUUCGUGUUGACACUAUGUCGGCAGGUAUCUUUUAUUACUAAUAUUUAGUUCCAAGUUCGCUCACAUGAUGAUCACUGCUGCAUACAAAUGCUUCAAAAACAGGUCAGCAAUCGCAUUUUCAGUGUGUAUUGAUAUAGAUCAGUGGUUGCGGUUAAUGCGCCUCUUCCCAGCUACUUUGCCCAUUAUCUCGAGAUACAAGAGCCCGUAUCCAUUGUGCUUAAACGCAUACCCAAGAUAGCAACUUUCCCCUUUUUCACGGUCUCCAAACCGUGAAACCAUCUUUCUUAUCUUCUUUUUUACUGCAAGACUUCUUCGUUUGUCACCUUUAAAUACAUAUAUUACUUAGGCGUUAUUUUAUGCAUAAUUGAACCUUUCUUAAAUGUGGCAUAAUUUGACAAUUUGUACAUGAACCUAUCUACAACUAUACCCUCACGUGAUAUUUUUAAUUGUUAGUGUUUUAAAGAUAUUUCAUAGUAUAAAAUAGGUACACACAUUUUACAGCAAACGCCAGCACUCCUAAAUUAUUUAUAUAUGUAUACCUAGACUAAUAAAAAAAAGCAUAGAUAUUAUAAGCUAAAUACUAGUUUUUUGAGUGUGCUUUUAAAAUAUUCUUAUCUUUUCCUCAUUUUUGCUGGCGUCAAUUAAAAAUAAAACAAUUAUUUCUAAGUUAAAAUAAUGAUUUUCAAUACAAUAACGUUAUAUAAAAUUUGAGCGGAAGAAACAAAAACUGCGACUGCAGCGUUGCAUUAAAAAUGCAUAAUUAUGAAGGUAGUGUAUUCUUAACACAAAAUAGAUUUCAAUAAAAAUAAAUGAAUAAACAUACAUACUAUAAACUAUAAUAUAUUUAUAAUACUUACAUAAUCUCAAUAAGAAAUAGGGAUGUAAUAAGAAACCUAACUCGUGUUGAACGAGUAAUUUAAGCCAGAUACUAACAACUAAUGCAAGCAGUGGGAAGCGGUAUCUUUGAAUUUUACAAUUUCUCUUAUAAAACUAGCUUCCUUACUUAGUAUCCAAAGGAAUCAAUUAAAACAGACCUUUAUUAAAAAUGUAUACCUCUUCUGUGCUUUUUGCUGAUUUGCUGUAUGCCGCAUCCACGCUCAAUAUAUUUUCUACCUAUUCGUAAUGUAUUCUGGCUUUAAAAAAACUUGUUAUAUUCGAAGUUCUUACGAAUCACUUCAAGGCUUAAUUUAUU